rnacentral:lncRNA from 1 species
CCCUACCAAAACCCUUACACUGUUGGCAUGCCCGUGGGAUACCAAACACCGUAUUAAAUUGAGUACCUUGGGCAAGUUGUAUAUUUUGCCAGUGAGCCAAGUGCUGCCAUUUUGAUAGUAUUUUGAUACUAUUUUGAUACCUGUACAUUGUGGAGGGAUUUAGAUACUAUUUGUUCAGCCCACAUUUGCCUCCCCUAGUCUGUAGACAACAUUCUUUGUCAAAUGGCAAUGCACAUCGGUGAUGCACAAGACAACUGUGUUUUGAUGCUUUCCUUCAUUGCCAUUUCUUAAUCGAUCUUACUGGUAUAAUGAGAAAUUUCCCGAAGUACCUUGAAAUGGAAUAUUUAUGAGUGGUUACGGUAACAUGUGUUUCUUCUUUUGACCAACGAAGAUAUAUCAGUACUGCAACAUUUCUACAUUUGGUAGCAUGAGUUAUUUCUUUCAUAAUUUGACCACUUGAAUAUAUUGUUAAACUUAUUCUUCUAAAUGAAGUUUAUAAUUAUUAAUGUCAAAGUGGCAUAUCAUCUCAAUUGUCUUCCACACUCAAGUUUUCUCACUUGCAAUUUUUUAGGGAUUUAGUAUCCACAUGAACUUGAAAUCUACUCUACCUAAAGUAUUAUUGCCAUAAUUUCAAGCAAUGCAUAAAAAAUGUAAUUCUAUGACGCAAAAUUGUAUGAUUUAUUUUAAUUUUUU